CAGCAGCCGCGGGAAUACGAGGGGGGCAAGCGUUGUUCGGAAUUAUUGGGCGUAAAGGGUGCGUAGGCGGUUUGGCAAGUUUGGUGUGAAAUCUUCGGGCUCAACUCGAAGUCUGCAUCGAAAACUGCCGGGCUUGAGUAUGGGAGAGGUGAGUGGAAUUUCCGGUGUAGCGGUGAAAUGCGUAGAUAUCGGAAGGAACACCUGUGGCGAAAGCGGCUCACUGGACCAUAACUGACGCUGAUGCACGAAAGCUAGGGGAGCAAACAGGAUUAGAUACCCCAGUAGUCCCUGUCUCUUAUAC
rnacentral:rRNA from 1 species